rnacentral:rRNA from 1 species
AACGAACGCUGGCGGCAUGCCUAACACAUGCAAGUCGAACGAAGGCUUUGGCCUUAGUGGCGCACGGGUGAGUAACGCGUGGGAAACUGCCUAUUGGUGGGGAAUAACGACGGGAAACUGUCGCUAAUACCGCAUAAGCCCUUCGGGGGAAAGAUUUAUCGCCGAUAGAUGUGCCCGCGUCCGAUUAGCUAGUUGGUGAGGGAAUGGCUCACCAAGGCGACGAUCGGUAGCUGGUCUGAGUGGAUGAUCAGCCACACUGGGACUGAGACACGGCCCAGACUCCUACGGGAGGCAGCAGUGGGGAAUAUUGGACAAUGGGCGAAAGCCUGAUCCAGCAAUGCCGCGUGAGUGAUGAAGGCCUUAGGGUUGUAAAGCUCUUUCGGGUGGGACGAUGAUGACGGUACCACCAGAAGAAGCCCCGGCUAACUUCGUGCCAGCCGCCGCCGUAA